UUUCUACUCCCUCCGUCCGAAAAUACUUGUCAUCAAAAUGGAUAAAAAUAGAUGUAUCUAAAACUAAAAUACGUCUAUAUACAUUUCCUUUUAUCCAUUUCGAUGACAAGUAUUUCCGGACGGAGGGAGUAUUUG
rnacentral:pre_miRNA from 1 species